rnacentral:rRNA from 1 species
AUUGAACGCUGGCGGCGUGCUUAACACAUGCAAGUCGAUCGGUAACAGGUGUAGCAAUACAUGCUGACGAGAGGCGGACGGGUGAGUAAUGCUUGGGAAUCUGCCUAUUAGUGGGGGACAACCCGGGGAAACUCGGGCUAAUACCGCAUACGCUCUACGGAGGAAAGCCGGGGACCGCAAGGCCUGGCGCUAAUAGAUGAGCCCAAGUCGGAUUAGCUAGUUGGUAGGGUAACGGCCUACCAAGGCGACAAUCCGUAGCUGGUCUGAGAGGACGACCAGCCACACCGGAACUGAGACACGGUCCGGACUCCUACGGGAGGCAGCAGUGGGGAAUAUUGGACAAUGGGGGCAACCCUGAUCCAGCGACGCCGCGUGGGUGAAGAAGGCCUGCGGGUUGUAAAGCCCUUUCGGUGGGGAAGAAAAGUCUCGACCUAAUACGUCGGGACCUU